CUGGACGGUGGCCGGCGGAGGACAAGAGGCCUACGAGGCGGAAAGGUUUUUGCCCUGAGUGGGUCUUACCUAGUGUGUCUGCGAGUCCGGAACGGCGGGUCCGCAGGGACAUGGCGGCAGUCUCGGCGGUGCCGGUGCUGCUCUUGGCAGAGAGGAACCGGUGGCAGCGAAUCCCGUGCCUGCUGCUGCCGCCGAGGAGAUGGACUUGGAAGCAAAGAACCAUGAAGUAUGCAACAACCACAGGUCGAAACAUUACCAAGGUCCUCAUUGCAAACAGAGGAGAAAUUGCCUGCAGGGUGAUGCGAACAGCCAAAAAAAUGGGUAUACAGUCGGUGGCUGUUUAUAGUGAGGCCGACAGGAAUUCCAUGCAUGUAGAGAUGGCAGAUGAAGCAUACUUCAUCGGCCCUGCCCCCUCACAGCAGAGCUACCUCCACAUGGAGAAGAUCAUCCAAGCGGCCAAGAUCUCCGCUGCACAGGCUGUCCAUCCAGGAUAUGGUUUUCUCUCAGAAAAUGUGGACUUUGCUGAACUAUGUAAGCAAGAAGGAAUUAUUUUUAUAGGUCCUCCUUCAUCUGCAAUUAGAGACAUGGGUAUAAAGAGCACAUCCAAAUCCAUAAUGGCUGCCGCUGGAGUGCCAGUUGUGGAAGGUUACCACGGCAAGGACCAAGCCGACCAGUGCCUGAAAGAGCACGCUGGGAGGAUCGGUUAUCCCGUCAUGAUUAAAGCCAUCCGCGGUGGAGGAGGAAAAGGUAUGAGGAUCGUUAGAGCUGAGAAAGAAUUUCAAGAGCAGUUAGAGUCAGCAAGGAGAGAAGCUACAAAAUCUUUCAGUGAUGAUGCUAUGCUGAUUGAGAAGUUUGUGGACACGCCAAGGCAUGUAGAAGUCCAGGUGUUUGGUGACCACCAUGGCAAUGCUGUGUACUUGUUUGAAAGGGACUGUAGUGUACAAAGGAGACAUCAGAAGAUCAUUGAGGAGGCCCCAGGGCCUGGUAUUAAACCUGAAGUAAGAAAAAAGCUUGGAGAAGCUGCAGUGAGAGCUGCUAAAGCUGUAAACUAUGUUGGAGCAGGAACUGUGGAGUUUAUUAUGGACUCAAAACACAAUUUUUACUUCAUGGAGAUGAAUACAAGGCUGCAAGUGGAACAUCCUGUUACUGAGAUGAUCACAGGGACUGACUUGGUGGAGUGGCAGCUGAGGGUUGCAGCAGGAGAAAAGAUCCCUCUGAGCCAGGAAGAAAUAACUCUGCAGGGCCAUUCCUUUGAAGCUAGAAUAUAUGCAGAAGAUCCUAAUAAUAACUUCAUGCCAGGGGCUGGACCAUUAGUGCAUCUUUCUACCCCUCAAGCAGAUCUUUCCACUAGGAUUGAAACUGGGGUACGGCAAGGAGAUGAAGUCUCAGUGCACUAUGACCCCAUGAUCGCCAAGCUGGUCGUAUGGGCUGCUGAUCGCCAGGCGGCCUUGACGAAACUGCGGUACAGCCUUCGUCAGUACAACAUUGUUGGACUGCACACCAACAUUGACUUCCUCCUCAGCCUGGCUGGCCACCCAGAGUUUGAAGCGGGGAACGUGCACACUGAUUUCAUCCCUCAGCACCGCAGAGAACUCUUGCCUAGUCGGAGGGCUGCAGCCAAAGAGUUUUUAUGCCAAGCAGCUCUAGGUCUCAUCCUCAGGGAAAAGACUAUGACCGAUGUCUUCAAACUUCAGACACAAGAUCAUUAUUCUCCUUUUGCGUCCAGCAGUGGAAGAAGACUGAAUAUCUCUUACACCAGAAACAUCACUCUUAGGGAUGGCCAAAACAAUGUGGCCAUAGCUGUAACGUAUAACCAUGAUGGGUCAUACGGCAUGCAGAUUGAUGAUAAAGCUUUCCAAGUCCUUGGUGAUGUUUAUAAUGAGGGAAACUGUUCUUACCUGAAAUGUUCUGUUAAUGGAGUUGCUAGUAAAACUAAGCUAAUUAUCCUGGAAAACACUAUUUACCUAUUUUCCAUGGAAGGAAGUAUUCAGAUUGACAUUCCAGUCCCCAAAUACUUGUCUUCAGUGAGCUCCAAAGGAACUCAGGGGGGUGCCUUAGCUCCAAUGACUGGAACCAUUGAAAAGAACCUGACUGCACUGUGUGAUGAUUCCCAAACUCCUUGAUAAUCAUGUUAACCAAGAAGACAGUGACACCGUAUGAGGUUAUGAAUUCAUUUGUACAUGUAAAGAGAAAAACAGAUAUUUUUCUGAGGUUGCCAAUAAGUUUAAUUCUUUCACAUGAAGAUUGUCUGUGCACGUACUGCCCAGGGCCAUGAAGAUGUGGAGCACUAUCUUUACCUACAAAGGGAAACCAGGGAAGCCCCUCCACGCUGCCUGUGGUGGAGACAUUUAAUGAGAUGAAUCUUUCCUAUGGGUGGUAUGUCUUGUCUGUACAUUUUUGAAGGGAAAAAAAAAAGGAUCUCAAGAUACAAAAAGUGUACUUACCUGAUUCGAGGAAAACUAGAUGAUUUGGGCUGUGGGCAGCACCCCUCACUGACAGCAGUGCCAGGCCAACCUGUCAUUCUCCAGUGUGCAUCAGGACACCUGUCUUGGGCAGACAAGACAACCACGUACACUCAGACCUCCACUCUGUAUGUUCACAGAUCAACUCCGGACUGUGAAGGACCUCUGUGUUUCUAAAUAUUAACCUGUCUCUCUGAAUCUCUAGGUGUUUGUGAAAGCUGGAGACAAAGUAAAAGCUGGAGAUUCUCUAAUGGUUAUGAUCGCUAUGAAAAUGGAGCAUACCAUUAAGGCUCCAAAGAGUGGCACCAUCAAGAAAGUGUUCUACAAAGAAGGUUCUCAGGCCAACAGACACUCUCCUUUAGUCAAGUUUGAGGAGGAAGAAUCUGACAAAAGGGAGACAGAAUAAACUCCAUGAAAGGUGUGUCCAGUAAAGCAGUAACCUAUGAUAAUGUCCUUCACAAAAAGAGAAAGUGCCUCCUUGCUUUUCUCGGGGUCAAAUAAACAGCAGUUUAUGAUGAUUAUGUUGUUAUGCUAAAACACUUUCAUGUUCUUGUACUUGGAUCACAGAUACAACAAAUUAUCUGAAAAUAUUUCAUACUAAUAAAAUUGAAUUAUACUUUUUUA